rnacentral:rRNA from 1 species
GACAGAGGCCUCAAGCGUUAGGCGGAAUCACUGGGCUUAAAGCGUGUGUAGGCGGAUGCCUAAGUACCUUGUGAAAUCCCACGGCUCAACCGUGGAACUGCUGGGUAUACUGGGCGUCUUGGGCCAUUCAGGGGCGACUGGAACAAGCGGUGGAGCGGUGAAAUGCGUAGAUAUCGCUUGGAACGCCGAAGGGGAAAACAGGUCGCUGGGGAUGUGCCGACGCUGAGACACGAAAGCCAGGGGAGCAAACGGG